rnacentral:rRNA from 1 species
GACGAACGCUGGCGGCGUGCUUAACACAUGCAAGUCGAACGAGAAUCUACUGGAAGAGUUUUCGGACAAUGGAUGUAGAGGAAAGUGGCGGACGGGUGAGUAACGCGUGAGGAACCUGCCUUGAAGAGGGGGACAACAGUUGGAAACGACUGCUAAUACCGCAUGAAGCAUAGGGGUCGCAUGAUCUUUAUGCCAAAGAUUUAUCGCUUCAAGAUGGCCUCGCGUCUGAUUAGCUGGUUGGCGGGGUAACGGCCCACCAAGGCGACGAUCAGUAGCCGGACUGAGAGGUUGAACGGCCACAUUGGGACUGAGAUACGGCCCAGACUCCUACGGGAGGCAGCAGUGGGGAAUAUUGGGCAAUGGGCGCAAGCCUGACCCAGCAACGCCGCGUGAAGGAAGAAGGCUUUCGGGUUGUAAACUUCUUUUAAGAGGGAAGAGCAGAAGACGGUACCUCUAGAAUAAGCCACGGCUAACUACGUGCCAGCAGCCGCAGUAA